GAUCAACGCUGGCGGCGUGCCUAAUGCAUGCAAGUCGGACGCGGCCUCCUUCGGGGGGUUGGCGUGGCGGACGGGUGAGGAACACGUGGGGAACCUGCCCUGGGGUGGGGGGUAGCCAUCGGAAACGGUGGGUAAUUCCGCAUGCGCUCGCGCCUCAGUCGGGGUGCGAGGAAAGCCGCAAGGCGCCCUGGGAUGGUCCUGCGUCCGAUUAGCUGGUUGGUGGGGUCACGGCCCACCAAGGCGANGAUCGGUCGCUGGUCUGAGAGGACGGCCAGCCACACGGGGACUGAGACACCGGCCCCGACUCCUACGGGAGGCAGCAGCAAGG
rnacentral:rRNA from 1 species